UACGUAGGGUGCAAGCGUUGUCCGGAAUUAUUGGGCGUAAAGAGCUCGUAGGCGGUUUGUCGCGUCUGCUGUGAAAAUCCAGGGCUUAACCCUGGACCUGCAGUGGGUACGGGCAGACUGGAGUGCGGUAGGGGAGAUCGGAAUUCCUGGUGUAGCGGUGAAAUGCGCAGAUAUCAGGAGGAACACCGGUGGCGAAGGCGGGAUCUCUGGGCCGUAACUGACGCUGAGGAGCGAAAGCUGGGGAGCGAACAGG
rnacentral:rRNA from 1 species